GAUAGAGGCGUGCUCGAAAGAGAGCCGUAACACAGGUGCUGCAUGGCUGUCGUCAGCUCGUGUCGUGAGAUGUUGGGUUAAGUCCCGCAACGAGCGCAACCCUUGUCAUUAGUUGCUACAUUCAGUUGGGCACUCUAAUGAGACUGCCGGUGACAAGCCGGAGGAAGUGGGGAUGACGUCAAGUCCUCAUGGCCCUUAUAGGUGGGGCUACACACGUCAUACAAUGGCUGGUACAAAGGGUUGCCAACCCGCGAGGGGGAGCUAAUCCCAUAAAGCCAGUCGUAGUCCGGAUCGUAGUCUGCAACUCGACUACGUGAAGUCGGAAUCGCUAGUAAUCGUGGAUCAGAAUGUCACGGUGAAUACGUUCCCGGGCCUU
rnacentral:rRNA from 1 species